UCAUUUACUAGGUAGCGGGGCCUCGUUAAUCACCGAGGACGAGCCCCCAGGGCGAGGCGCGGGCAUUGCACUGCGCUCGCGUUGACCCCUGCCACUACCCCAAACUGGAGCAGAUGGGGCAUGCAAAUUGC
rnacentral:snRNA from 1 species